UGUGUGAACAGGAAAGGAGGAAGAAGAGACUGGGUGACUUGCCUUUCCACUUUGAAAUCUGAGACUCAUUUAAGGGGCUUUGGUGUCUACUGACCCACAUUUAAGUCCACUGGAAA